UCAAAUUUUACUGUUGCGACACUCAGUUAUGAAGGAAGGGGGAGGGGACCCGAUUCCCGCCGAAUAAUCUCUGGUCCAGUAGAAAGGUGCACGUGUGUGGCUCCGCAGGUUCCAGCAGUGGGCGUGGCAGAACGAAUGAGCAGGAAGCUCCACCCCUGAGCAAGCAGGUUUCAGGCUGGGGGAGGGGAGACUACAGACCAUGGUGGCACACACCGGUAAUCUUGAAGAACAGAGGGUUGGAGAUGGUGCCCAGGCUCUUGAGUACCACCAUCAAAACACCAAAGUUUCUAUGGAUGAGGCAGUUAAUGAAGGACAGAGCCUACAGGCAAAUGCAACCAGUGCCCCCUUACUUUGAUGCUGAUGCCUUGCCAAGAGUCCUGGGAAGUGCAUGGAAAUUCUGCUGAUGCCUGGCUUUACCAAGCUCCUCCUACUGUGGUUCUAGGGGCUCCUAACCAUAUCCAAACUGUGCUGGCAGUACCUCUCUUCUAAAGCCUAACUGUGCAGACUCAACAUCUCCUUGACAGAAAGACCUGUGCGUGCAUACGGAAGUUAACAUUUCCUACUGACUCUGGUGACUGGGGCCGAAGUUGAACAUGAGCUCAAUAUGCUGUUGAGACAAAAUGUUAUUCUUUUCCAGCUGAAAUAAUCUUGUGUUAAGGAAGAAUAAUUUAACAAGUUGUGACACAGUUAGUUAUUAAAUGGGAGGCUCUGGCAGCCCUACCUCAUACUCUGUGACUUAUUUGCAAAGGAUGCUGUAAAAUGAAUUUGGGCUAAGUCUUUAGAGAAAAAUAGAACAUGGAGAAAAACUUUUAAAGAAUGGAGCAUGUCAAUUCUGGCUUGUAGCCACUUUCUGUAUCCCUCAGUACUUUAUAGGAAGAGAGAGAGAGAAGUGUGGAGUCAGGGUUCUGGGCUCUCAUCUUACUAAGUAGAAAACUCACUAGCCUCGGGAGAGUACUAUUACUUGCUAUUCAGCAGAUUUAUCCUCAGUGAAACCACGGGUUAACAAAUGUAUCUAUCUAUAACAAGAGCCUUGAAAAUUAAAUAAACUUAUACAUAUAUCACACUUAGAAAAGUAUCUGACAUCUGUUAGUUAUACAACAAAUGUUAGAAAUAUGCUCUAUAGUCAGAGUGCUGGUCUUCCCUACCCCCUAUUCAUAUGAGGGAACCUGAUGUUCAACAGAGUAUUACAGCAUGAGACCUUUGUCAUACAUGGUGACCCACAUGUAUAAUCCAAUUACUCAGAUUGCUGAGGUGGGGAAUCUGGAUUUCAAUGCAAUGCUGGACUAUAUAUGGACUCAGUCUCAUGAACAAAAUAAAUUUUUUUAAAAAAUAGAUAGGGCCUUCUGGGAAAUGAUUAAGUGAUUAAGAGGUUUACCAUCAUGGAGGGAAUUAGUGUCCUUAUAAACAUCAGGUCUCAUGGUUGCCCACCCACCAUGAGAGGACACAGGAAGAGAGUAAGUUCUCAUCAGACACAUAGAUGGAGCUUUUCUAGCCUUCAUAACUGUGAGGAACAAAUUUCUA
rnacentral:lncRNA from 1 species